GUAGGGCAAUGAGUAGCGCAUUGGACUUUAAAUCCAAAGGUCGUGGGUUCAAAUCCUACAUAAACG